GAGAAAGGACACGGGCACCCAGAAAGAAUGACUCCAUCUGGCUUUGAUGUGUUCCUUUCCACAGGAUGGCAGCAGCCCGGAGAAUACUGAAUAAGACAGCAGAGGGCAAGGUGGUGAAGGAGUGACAGCAAAUGGAAACGUCUUGGGAUAAUCACUUACUAGCCGCACAGAUGUUUCAUCUUCUGUUGAAGGAAGCAAGCUUCCUUGGAAUCCUUGAGGUAAAGCCUCUGUAUGUUGAGUGAAAUUUGACCCUUUUACUCAGCAGAAACGGAGACUCAACCUGCCAACCCCACAAAAGUAAUAAAGAUCUCGACACACGAAGAAGCGUUUCAGACGAGAUCACCGGGAAGGAUAGCAAACACACCCAGUCACCUGGACCAGGUUAUGAAUCUGCA